rnacentral:rRNA from 1 species
CACACCGCCCGUCACACCAUGACGAGUUGGAAAUACCCGAAGCCUGUGAGCUAACUGUAAAGAGGCAGCAGUCGAAGGUAGAGCCAAUGAGUUGGGGUGAAGUCGUAACAAGGUACC